GGGCCCUGGUAUCGCUCAGGGAGGGUCGUAGGAGCUCCUCGCCGUCGCCUGAGUGCCGGUCCAAAUACUCGGCGCAGGGUGAGCCUCUGCUGUAAUGGCAACGGAAAGGAAUGACACCGUGCCUGCCUCAGAUAUGGUAUCUGCCAACGUGACCUUAUUUUGCAAUAACUUUAGCAUAAUAGAAUGCAUGGUCGGAAGAGAUCUUAGAGAUCACGUAAAUGACCCCCAUACCCAGUGCUACUACUACAAUCACAGUGUCACUGAGAGACAUCCAGCCCGUUAAAUGACUCCAGCAAGAGUAUAUUAUCUCACACAGUAGUGAGUUCUAAGAUUGGAAAAAGCCUCAAUAGGCUUAAUAAUAAGGAACAGUUGCAGAAUUCAGAUCACAUACAAUUUUGCAGUUUGUAAGUAAUUGGAUCUUUUCCUUCCAUGUGGAUAUUUUCUUUUAAAUUUGGUUAUUACAUAAUCAUGAUGAAACUAUAAUUCAAGGUCUAAAAUCUAUACAGUUUCAUUAAAUGCAAUCAUAUAGAAUAAAAGUAAUUAAGCAGUUUUUAAAGAGAGAAAUCCUUAAAAUUUGUUGGCAGCCCCAGAGUCUCUUUCUAGUGUAAGUCUGGAAAGAGACUUCUCAUAUAGAAUUGGUCUCUCUGUUCCAUAAACAUCUUUUUUAUAUAAUGGAAACUUUCAC